CGUGUAGGCGGUCUGUUAAGUCAUGUGUGAAAUCCCUCGGCUCAACCGGGGAACGACGCAUGAAACUGACAAGCUAGAGUACCAAAGAGGGGGUGGAAUUCCCGGUGUAGCGGUGAAAUGCGUAGAUAUCGUAAGGAAGACCAGUGGCGAAGGCGGGUCUCUGGACAGUUCCUGACGCUGAGGCACGAAGGUCAGGGGAAGGCAAACG
rnacentral:rRNA from 1 species